rnacentral:misc_RNA from 1 species
UACGAAGACCCCAAGCGUUACCCGGAGUUACUGGGCGUAAAGGGCCUGUAGGGGGCCUGGCAAGUUCGAUGUUAAAUCCCACUGCUCAACGGUGGGCCUGCAUUGAAAACUGCAAGGCUAGAGGACGUCAGAGGUCAGUGGAACACAUAGUGUAGGGGUGAAAUCCGUUGAUAUUAUGUGGAACAUCAAAGGCGAAGGCAUCUGACUGGGGCGUUCCUGACCCUAAGGGGCGAAAGUGUGGGUCGCGAAGAGG